CAUGUUUAGGUUAGUGUUAGUGUGAGCUGUGCAGUCAAAGUAGUAGAAAACAGAAUUUAAAGCAAUAAAACAGGAGAAACGGACACAGGAUUAGCCAGCAGACUUUGUUUGAUGAAGGGAUCUGUACCUACUGUCCAUAGCAAGUCAGCAGAUGAGGGAGAUUUGCCGAGUGGAAGGAGGCUCAGAAGCUUGAAGACCAGAGCCAGCCAGUUCAGAGACAGCUUCUUCCCCCGGGCGACCAGGCUGUGGAAAAGCCGGUAGAACAGUUCUGCUCAAUCCACCCCACUGCCAUGUAUACAAACUCAGUACCCUGCACUUUACUUUACACUUCACCUAUCAGACUUUCCCAUACAUUCUGCACCCUGUACUUCCCACACAAUUCAUUAUAUACCUGCACUUUAUUCAUAAUUACUCUGUCACAUACUGGACCAUCUCUGCACUUCCACAUACACACUCAUCGGUUUUGGUGAGACCGUGAUCUGGCCUUAAUCAGAAUCAGCCAUGAAGCAUACUUCUCCUG